ACGGAGGGGGCUAGCGUUGUUCGGAAUUACUGGGCGUAAAGCGCACGUAGGCGGCUUUGUAAGUUAGAGGUGAAAGCCCGGGGCUCAACUCCGGAAUUGCCUUUAAGACUGCAUCGCUAGAAUUGUGGAGAGGUAAGUGGAAUUCCCGGUGUAGUGGUGAAAUGCGUAGAUAUCGGGAGGAACACCAGUGGCGAAGGCGACUUCCUGGCCUGUUCUUGACGCUGAGGCGCGAAAGCUAGGGUAGCAAACGGGA
rnacentral:rRNA from 1 species